rnacentral:rRNA from 1 species
CCUACGGCGGCAGCAGUGGGGAAUAUUGGACAAUGGGCGAAAGCCUGAUCCAGCCAUGCCGCGUGUGUGAAGAAGGCCUUCGGGUUGUAAAACACUUUCAGUGGGGAAGAAAGCCUUGGGGCUAAUACCCUCGAGGAAGGACAUCACCCACAGAAGAAGCACCGGCUAACUCCGUGCCAGCAGCCGCGGUAAUACGGAGGGUGCGAGCGUUAAUCGGAAUUACUGGGCGUAAAGCGCGCGUAGGCGGUCUGAUAAGCCGGUUGUGAAAGCCCCGGGCUCAACCUGGGAACGGCAUCCGGAACUGUCAGGCUAGAGUGCAGGAGAGGAAGGUAGAAUUCCCGGUGUAGCGGUGAAAUGCGUAGAGAUCGGGAGGAAUACCAGUGGCGAAGGCGGCCUUCUGGACUGACACUGACGCUGAGGUGCGAAAGCGUGGGUAGCAAACAGGAUUAGAUACCCGAGUAGUC